CAUUAAACUUGAAGUGCGAUCACUAGAGAGAAGUUUGUGUUCACUCAAAUUAGUUAAGUGUAAUAGAGAUGAGACAAUCGGGGUCAUGCAUGUUGUCCAAGGAGUUACCGGAAGAUGUUGGCAUCAGCCGCAUUAUAACCAAUGAGGCAGAUGUGUAACCUGACAUGCCGGUCAACGUUUUGGAAGAGUUUGGGCCAGACACAGGUGUUUGAUAGCAUCUGUAUAUAUUGUGGCGACCAUGAAGUAGUUAGGAAUGACAAUCAUGAGAUAAGUAGGCUGAAGAACGACAACGCUAUCGUUAGACCUAUAUGUGCAUCGUUCAUGAACUGGUCUGAAGAUCAUAACAAGAAAUGCUAAAAAGAAAUAAAAAUGAACAAUGAUUAUGAAUAAUAAAAUCCAUCUCUUGAUA